rnacentral:lncRNA from 1 species
CUUAAAAGACUUACAAUGGAUUAAGAAGUCAAGCCCACACGCGUGCCUAGCUUAGUCAAUGUCGUAAGUGUGCGAUUUAGGCGCAGAUGCAUCGGUCGUUGGGAGCUGAGGAGAUCUUAUUUUUGGUGAGUUCGGAUCAAAUCAUUUUUAUUGCUCUGGUCAAACGGUUGACCGUCGUUUACUUCGUGGAAAUCACGUUGGAAUAUUCUAGAGGCCCAGAAAACGGUUUGCUUCAAAAGCAAGGCGUCACCCUAUAUUUAGUCAUAUAUUUUGCAUAUAAUGUUAAUACUUUUUGGCUAAUUUAUUACAAUUAUGGAACAAAAUAUGCUUAAUUAUGUUUAAAUUAUAUUUUCAGUCCAAAAGAAGUGCUCAGAAGCAAAAGGAAGCAGGAGCAGCUGUCGGGAGCUCGGGAAUCAAGGAAAGAAGAAAAGAGCCAAAAAUCACAAGGCACUCAACGAGUCGGUACGUGACUCGACAAGUUCCCACAAAGGUUCUCGAAGCAGAGGAAUCAUUGCCUUGCCGGACACAGGGAUUUAAUGAGGGACUCGGCGAGUUUGUACCUAGACUCGACGAGUCACCUCUAAUCUAUAAAAGAGACUUCCAGAUCGACACCCGAUUUUUUUAAGAAGUCCUUGGAGAUAAAGUUGCGAAUAAGACUUAUGGAGCGUGAGAAGUCGGAGAAUCAACCUAGAUCCAUUUUUGGAGGAGAAUUAAGGC